rnacentral:rRNA from 1 species
AGUGAACGCUGGCGGUAGGCCUAACACAUGCAAGUCGAACGGCAGCACAGUAAGAGCUUGCUCUUACGGGUGGCGAGUGGCGGACGGGUGAGGAAUACAUCGGAAUCUACUUUUUCGUGGGGGAUAACGUAGGGAAACAUACGCUAAUACCGCAUAUGUCCUACGGCUUAAAUCAGUGGAUCAUCGCACUUUUCGCGACUCUAUUAGCCGAUGUCGGAUUAGCUAGUUGGCUGGGUAAAGGCCCACCAAGGCGACGAUCCGUAGCUGGUCUGAGAGGAUGAUCGGCCACACUGGAACUGAGACACGGUCCAGACUCCUACGGGAGGCAGCAGUGGGGAAUAUUGGACAAUGGGCGCAAGCCUGAUCCAGCCAUACCGCGUGGGUGAAGAAGGCCUUCGGGUUGUAAAGCCCUUUUGUUGGGAAAGAAAAGCAGCAGGUUAAUACCCCGCUGUUCUGACGGUACCCAAAGAAUAAGCACCGGCUAACUUCGUG